UACUUAGGGAAGAGGCCCAUACUGGUUA
rnacentral:piRNA from 1 species